rnacentral:hammerhead_ribozyme from 1 species
AUUCAGCUGGCGAGUCCGAAAAUAGGACGAAAUGUGUGUGCUGGAU